rnacentral:rRNA from 1 species
UACGUAGGUGGCAAGCGUUAUCCGGAAUUACUGGGCGUAAAGCGCACGCAGGCGGUCUUGUAAGUUUGACGUGAAAGCUCCCGGCUUAACUGGGAGAGGUCGUUGAAUACUGCGAGACUUGAGUUUAGGAGAGGGGUGUAGAAUUCCCGGUGUAGUGGUGGAAUGCGUAGAUAUCGGGGGGAAUACCAGUGGCGAAAGCGGCACCCUAGCCUUUGACUGACGCUCAUGUGCGAAAGCGUGGGGAGCGAACAGG